AAGUCAUGGAACGACCGUGCUCGCACGAGUCGGGCCAUGACCUUGGCGAACGCCCAAACAUGAGCAUGGAGCGAUGGAGCGACGCGAAGCGUCGCGGGAAUGUGAAUGUUUGGAGUAUGGCGAGAGCGCGAAGCGCGCAGCCAUGCGUGGCU
rnacentral:sRNA from 1 species